GACGAACGCUGGCGGCGUGCUUAACACAUGCAAGUCGAACGGAAAGGCCCUGCUUUUGUGGGGUGCUCGAGUGGCGAACGGGUGAGUAACACGUGAGUAACCUGCCCUUGACUUUGGGAUAACUUCAGGAAACUGGGGCUAAUACCGGAUAGGAGCUCCUGCUGCAUGGUGGGGGUUGGAAAGUUUCGGCGGUUGGGGAUGGACUCGCGGCUUAUCAGCUUGUUGGUGGGGUAGUGGCUUACCAAGGCUUUGACGGGUAGCCGGCCUGAGAGGGUGACCGGCCACAUUGGGACUGAGAUACGGCCCAGACUCCAACGGGAGGCAGCAGGGGGGAAUAGUGGACAAUGGGCGGAAGCCUGAUGCAGCAACGCCGCGUGCGGGAUGACGGCCUUCGGGUUGUAAACCGCGUUCGCCUGUGACGAAGCGUGAGUGACGGUAAUGGGUAAAGAAGCAACGGCUAACUACGUG
rnacentral:rRNA from 1 species